rnacentral:rRNA from 1 species
AGUGAACGCUGGCGGCAGGCCUAAUACAUGCAAGUCGAACGGCAGCACAGCAGAGCUUGCUCUGUGGGUGGCGAGUGGCGGACGGGUGAGGAAUACAUGGGAAUCUGCCCAGUCGUGGGGGAUAACGUAGGGAAACUUACGCUAAUACCGCAUGCGCCCUUCGGGGGAAAGCCGGGGGACCUUCGGGCCUGGCGCGAUAGGAUGAGCCCAUGUCGGAUUAGCUAGUUGGCGGGGUAAUGGCCCACCAAGGCGACGAUCCGUAGCUGGUCUGAGAGGAUGAUCAGCCACACUGGAACUGAGACACGGUCCAGACUCCUACGGGAGGCAGCAGUAGGGAAUAUUGGACAAUGGGGCGCAAGCCUGAUCCAGCCAUGCCGCGUGAGUGAAGAAGGCCCUCGGGUUGUAAAGC